rnacentral:rRNA from 1 species
UUAGGAAUCUUGCGCAAUGGACGAAAGUCUGACGCAGCGACGCCGCGUGCGGGAUGAAGGCCCUCGGGUUGUAAACCGCUUUCAGCAGGGACGAAAUUGACGGUACCUGCAGAAGAAGCCCCGGCCAACUACGUGCCAGCAGCCGCGGUAAUACGUAGGGGGCAAGCGUUGUCCAGAUUUAUUGGGCGUAAAGAGCUCGUAGGUGGUUCGGUAAGUCGGAUGUGAAAUCUCCAGGCUCAACCUGGAGGGGUCAUUCGAUACUGCCGUGACUAGAGGUCGGUAGGGGAGUGUGGAAUUCCUGGUGGAGCGGUGAAAUGCGCAGAUAUCAGGAGGAACACCCGUAGCGAAGGCGGCACUCUGGGCCGAUACUGACACUGAGGAGCGAAAAGCGUGGGGAGCGAACAGGAUUAGAUACC